GCCGAGGUAGCUCAAUUGGUAGAGCAAUCGCUUCGUAAGCGAUAGGUUUGUCGGUUCGAUCCCGAUCCUCGGCU
rnacentral:tRNA from 1 species